AUUGAACGCUGGCGGCAUGCUUUACACAUGCAAGUCGAACGGUAACAGGCCUUCGGGUGCUGACGAGUGGCGAACGGGUGAGUAAUGCAUCGGAACGUGCCCAGAGGCGGGGGAUAACGCAGCGAAAGCUGUGCUAAUACCUCAUGUGAUCUGAGGAUGAAAGCGGGGGACCAGGCAGCAAUGUUUGGCCUCGCGCCUUUGGAGCGGCCGAUGUCAGAUUAGGUAGUUGGUGGGGUAAAGGCCUACCAAGCCGACGAUCUGUAGCUGGUCUGAGAGGACGACCAGCCACACUGGGACUGAGACACGGCCCAGACUCCUACGGGAGGCAGCAGUGGGGAAUUUUGGACAAUGGGCGCAAGCCUGAUCCAGCAAUGCCGCGUGCGGGAAGAAGGCCUUCGGGUUGUAAACCGCUUUUGUACGGAACGAAAAAGCUCUGGCUAAUACCUGGGGCUGAUGACGGUACCGUAAAAAUAAGCACCGGCUAACUACGUG
rnacentral:rRNA from 1 species